UUCAAAGCGAACAGGUGAAAAUAAUGAAGCUCUGCGAACUUUUCAGCUACUGUCUACCGAUCCAAAAGAAGAAGCACAGGAAUGAGAGGGUUGACACCAGCAAGAAGAAGAAAAGAAAGGAGGCUAAGCACCUCAAGAAGGAGAUGGCAGACAGGAGGAGAAAGGAGGCCCUUGAGAUGGACAUCUCCAAGGUGUAGAGUGUGGAGACUGUAGUAGUGUCUCUGGAGGAGGUGAAGGAUAGGCCUGCAGAGAGACUUGAGGGUGAGCAUACAGUGAUCGCUAUCCACCAUGCUGAGAUGGCUAAUGCUAGGCUUGUGUCUCGCCCAAGAGCUGAGAAAGAGAGCAUCAGUGAGCCUGAUCAAGAGACCAGCAAAGAGGGCUGCACCCUGAUUGAAUCAUCUGUUGACCAAGGGAUACCUCAGCUGGACGAGGGGGGUGGUAGGAGCCCAUCUCCACUGAAGGUUGAUGGAGAUGGUGAUUGAGACUUCAGCAAAGAGGACUGCACCCUGAAUGAGUCAUCUAUUGACCAUGGGACACAUCAGCUGGACGAGGGAGGCGGUAAGACCUCAUCCCUGUUCCAUGCUAAGGGAGACGGAGCGUGACCUGUGCCUCAGUUGAAACUGGACUGGCACAGACACCAGCCUACAAUUGGGAAGCCCACACCACAGGCCGGUGCGUGGCAUACGCCUCACACCCCUGAGAAGAGUGACGUGAUGGAGGAAGAGAGGAGGAAAAUUCUGCAUGGAUCUUUUGAGAGGAGGGGCAUUACUACCCAGAAUACAACCACACAGGCCACACUGACCACUGAGGAAGACAAUCCCACACCACAGCCUGCUGUGUGGCACACAAAUAAAAUCCCUGAAGAGAGAGAUGAAGAUAGGAGGAAAAUUCUGCACGGAUUUGUCAAGAGAAGGGGCCUUACUACAUGUAGGCCAAA